UAGGGAAUAUUGGACAAUGGGGGCAACCCUGAUCCAGCCAUGCCGCGUGAGUGAAGAAGGCCCUCGGGUUGUAAAGCUCUUUUGUCCGGAAAGAAAAGCUUCGGGUUAAUACCCCGGGGUUCUGACGGUACCGGAAGAAUAAGCACCGGCUAACUUCGUGCCAGCAGCCGCGGUAAUACGAAGGGUGCAAGCGUUACUCGGAAUUACUGGGCGUAAAGCGUGCGUAGGUGGUUGUUGAAGUCUGAUGUGAAAGCCCUGGGCUCAACCUGGGAAUGGCAUUGGAAACUGGGCAGCUAGAGUGCGGUAGAGGGUAGUGGAAUUCCCGGUGUAGCAGUCAAAUGCGUAGAGAUCGGGAGGAACAUCUGUGGCGAAGGCGACUGCCUGGACCAGCACUGACACUGAGGCACGAAAGCGUGGGGAGCAAACA
rnacentral:rRNA from 1 species